GGUAUCAUCUCUGAACCAAGAUUUUUAGUGUUUUGUGUUUCUUUUUGUCUCAGACCAACACAGCUACCAAAUACAUCCCUGCAAAGAGAAGUACACUUCAGCUUCAUCAAAUGUGUGUAUUCAUACACAUGAAAUCAACACUACAGUGAGAAAAACACAGAACAAAAAAAACACCUAUGACAGCCUAGUUCCUUGUACCUCACCAGGUAAGGGGAGUGAAUGACCAUCUCACACUAAUGCCCAUUUCAUGGUAAACACUCAGCACAUCAGCUCUCUAACCUUUAAACCUGACUCUUGUCCUCCUUUUCAUAGCAAGAGAAGUCUACAGAAACGUAGAAGCAAAGCAUUGUUAUCAUAAUCCCACUCAGCUCCAACAUGACAGGUCUGGACUGCACAUGUUCAAGUAUCCACCUUUGAUAGCUGCACACCAUGAAGACAGAACAAGGCAAGGAAACAAGUCCCCGAGAUAGCCAGACCUGGAAAAAUGUCUCAUCUAAGAACCGCUUCCUUGUUACCCAUGCACCUUAUCCGAUUCACAUACACAGCUCCCAUAGUCCCUGUUCUGCCCCAAGUGCUUGAGGUUUGACUUUUCUUGGGUUGACACCAACUGGGAUCUUGAUGUGUACUGUACUAACAUGCUGAAGCACUGAACAAUCCUUACCUUUUUAUGUGUCUCUCAGUGGUUCAAAACUACUAUUAUGGGGCCCUCAGUAGUGGACCUCUGGGACUCUAAGUUGAUAAUUAUUAUUAGCUAGCCAUAAGACUUACCUAUUUGGAUUUAUUUUCCCACUGAGGCACUUUUACUUAAAGAGAAGGAAAUUAAAGAUCUCUCUCUCUCAA